CAAAGGCCACAGCCAUGUGACUUUCGAGUUUCGACGCCAAACCAAUCUCCUCCUUUCCCCAAUUUCCCCAAUGACCAAUUACUCUCUCCCUCACAUCUGCCAGUGCCUCACCCGCAUAGCCACCGCUCGUCGAGCUUCCCCGCUCACCGUCGCCGGCAACAGGCGCCAGACCGGCCAGCAAUUCGUCGACAGUGUUUUCGCUCUCGCCCGAGGCCUGCUUGAUCUCGGCCUCCUUCCGGGACAUGUUGUUGUCAUCUCUGCUUUCAACAGUGAUUGGUACUUGGAGUGGUUGCUUGCGGUUACAUUUGUUGGCGGUAUUGCUGCUCCUCUGAAUUACAGAUGGAGCUUCGAAGAGGCAAUAUCUGCAAUAGUAUCCGUGCAGCCAGUGAUGUUGGUCACUGAUGAGAGCUGCUGUCAAUGGUAUUCAAAGCUUCAAAACGAUCACAUACCUUCCUUGAGAUGGCAUGUCUUAAUUGGUUCUCAUCUACCGGGUUAUGAAAAAACUAGGGGAGCACUGUCCUCUGAAGAAUUGAAGAAGCAUUAUGUGAUAAACAUACCUCCAAAUUUCCUCCAUGCAGCUGAAGGUGUAGCUCUAAUAUGCUUUACUUCAGGAACAACGGGAAGGCCAAAGGGAGUUGCUAUUACACAUUCGGCUCUGAUUAUGCAGGCCCUUGCAAAAGUUGCUAUUGUUGGUUAUAGUGAGGACGAUGUUUAUUUACAUACUGCUCCCUUGUGUCACAUUGGUGGUUUGUCAUCAGCCAUUGCCAUGCUAAUGCUUGGAGCUCGCCAUAUAUUAAUUCCUAAGUUUGAGGUUAAGUCUGCUGUUGAAGCAAUAGAUCUAUAUGGUGUGACUUCUUUAAUCACUGUCCCAGCGAUGAUGGCUGAUUUAGUUUCUUUAAUCAGAUUUUUCAGGGAAAGAGAUAGUGGCAAAACAAGAGAAAGUGUGAAGAAGAUACUAAAUGGAGGUGGGGGGCUACCAUUAGAGCUAAUCAAAGACGCCGUGAAAAUUUUUCCCCGAGCUAAGCUUGUGUCAGCUUAUGGGAUGACUGAGACAUGCUCGUCAUUGACCUUCCUGAUGCUUAGCGAUCCAAUGGGAGAAACUUCUAUUCCACAUUUCCAGAGCUAUGAGCAUUCAAAAUGUCAUUCAGUAUAUCAACCAGAGGGUGUUUGUGUUGGCAAACCUGCCCCUCACAUAGAAAUAAAGAUUUGUUUGGAUGGUUCUUCUCAUGUUGGGAGGAUUUUAACCAGAGGACCACAUUUAAUGCUUAGGUACUAUGAUAAAAUUUCUGCAAGGCCAUCAAAUGAUGUCAACGAAGUUUGGUUUGACACAGGUGAUAUUGGUUCAAUAGAUGAUAGUGGUAAUCUGUGGCUUGUUGGACGAUCAAAUGGCAGAAUAAAAAGUGGUGGAGAGAACAUUUACCCCGAGGAGGGGCAUUCUUCUACUAGUUACACUAAUAUUGAUUCAUCUUGUGAAGUAGAUUACACAAAUGAGUUUACCACAAAUGAGAUAUUCAAAAGCCGAGAAGCUUUAAUUAAUUGGACACGAGAGGUUGGAAAGAGAAAGGGAUUGGUUAUAGUCAUAAAAACAUCUGAUGCAGGCGUGAAUGGUAGGAGGCCUAGAAUUUCUUUUGGGUGUGAGAGAAGUGGGAGUUAUAGAAGGAUAUCAAAAUUGGAAGUUUUAGGAGAAAAAAGAGCACGCAAGCUUACUGGAACCAAAAAAUGUGGAUGCCCCUUUUUAUUGAAAGGACAAAAAUUGACCACUGAUGAUGAUUGGAUGGUAAAAGUAGUAUGUGGGAUACACAAUCACCUUGCAAAUAAAAAUAUGGAAGGACAUACAUUUGCAGGGAGGUUAUCGCAAGAAGAGAAUGAGAUUUUGAUGAACUUGUCUAACUCAUCAGUUCGUCCUAAAGAUAUAUUGAGCACAUUGAAGAGCCGAGAUGCUCGCAAUGCUAGCACAAUGAAGACUAUAUAUAAUGCUCGACAUCGACAAAAGAGAGUUGAGAAGAAACGAAAACCAGAUAUGCAACAACUUUUUGGUGAGUUAGCUACAUAACACUAAAUUGAGCUCCAGAAUUUUAUGAAUUGUUGUGAGAGUGCUAGACAAGCUGUGUCUAUGAAAUGAGGGCCUCCCUUAAAUCUCAAGUUGAUUGAGGCUCACAAGCGCUGGAAAAAUUUGUAGGUGGAGAGAAUUCUAUUGCAACAUCCAGGAGUUAAAGGUUGUGUUGUGGUGGGCAUUCCCGAUUCGCGUUUGACAGAGAAGGCUGUGGCUUGUGUUCAAUUAGAAGAGGAUUGGCAGUGGUAUGAAACCAAUCA